rnacentral:rRNA from 1 species
UGGGAAAGCAGGUGGGACGACCAAAACAACCAGGAGGUUGGCUUAGAAGCAGCCAUCCUUUAAAGAUAGCGUAACAGCUCACUGGUCUAAAUAAGUUGUCUUGCGGCGAAGAUGUAACGGGGCUCAAGCCAUGAGCCGAAGCCGAGGAGUGCGUAUGCACUGGUAGCAGAGCGUAGUGUGACAUAGUUCCACUCCUCUUCAGCACCUUCCGAGGUGUUUUGGAGGAUAGGAGCUUUCGAUGAAGCGGGCGCGUGAGCGAUCCCGUGGAGAGAUCACUAGUGAGAAUGAUGACAUGAGUAGCGACAAAGAGUGUGAGAGACACUCUCGCCGAAAGUCCAAGGGUUCCUGCGCAAUGCUAAUCAGCGCAGGGUUAGCCGGCCCCUAAGUCGAGGCAGAAAUGCGUAGACGAUGGGAACCACG